rnacentral:rRNA from 1 species
UGGGGAAUAUUGCACAAUGGGCGAAAGCCUGAUGCAGCAACGCCGCGUGCGGGAUGACGGCCUUCGGGUUGUAAACCGCUUUCAGCAGGGACGAAGGUUUUCUGACGGUACCUGCAGAAGAAGCACCGGCUAACUACGUGCCAGCAGCCGCGGUGAUACGUAGGGUGCGAGCGUUGUCCGGAAUUAUUGGGCGUAAAGAGCUUGUAGGCGGUCCGUUGCGUCGGAAGUGAAAACUCAGGGCUUAACCCUGAGCCUGCUUUCGAUACGGGCGGACUUGAGGGAUGUAGGGGAGAACGGAAUUCCUGGUGGAGCGGUGGAAUGCGCAGAUAUCAGGAGGAACACCAGUGGCGAAGGCGGUUCUCUGGACAUUUCCUGACGCUGAGAAGCGAAAGCGUGGGGAGCAAACAGGCUUAGAUACCCUGGUAGUCCACGCCGUAAACGGUGGGCACUAGGUGUGGGACCCAUUCCACGGGUUCCGUGCCGUAGCUAACGCAUUAAGUGCCCCGCCUGGGGAGUACGGCCGCAAGGCU